rnacentral:rRNA from 1 species
GGCGAAUGAACAGGGAUGAGCUCAGGCUGGAAACCGAUACAUCUGUGUCGGGCUGUAGCCUGCAGGCAUAGCGCUAUCGGCGGCUCGAGCGCAAGCCUCUUGGAAUAGAGCGUGUGCCCGGGUGAGAAUCCUGCAUUUCGCUCGAUGUCCGCUGUCCACAGUGCUUGUCCUGAGAGUCACGCUCCUCGGAAUUGGAGCGUAAAUCAGGUGGUAAGUUUCAUCCAAAGCUAAAUAGAAGCUCGAGACCAAUAGCAAACAAGUACCAUGAGGGAAAGAUGAAAAGGACUUUGGAAAGAGAGUUAAAAGUGUUUGAAAUUGCUGAGAGCGAAGCGAACGGAGCCACAUGUCGUGCUGAGAUUGCUGUGGGUCUUUGUGAGCCUUGAGCAUGUAAGCGCAAGCUGACUGCUUAUGUGUGAGCAUUUACCCGCAGUGUUUCUCAGCAUGCGAGUCAUUAGCCACAUUUGUUUGAGGAUGGCCUUCAGCUCACAUGGUACACUUGUUAGUGUUCCUCUGUGCGGUGUGGGACUCAGACAGGUGUGGCUUGUUGACCCAGUGGUUUUUUUCGACCCG